AAAUAUUAAGAAGAUUUCGCUAAUAUAACUAAGAUUUUAAUUUCACUUAUUUUUUUAAGCAAACUAGUGCAAUUAUUAAGCUUAAUUUGAGAAACCAGUUAAGCUAAUAAAAUUGAGGAAAGAUGGCUUCACGUUUAUUUUAAGAAAAUUCACUCAAUUAUGUGGAUUUGAUUGAGAUGUUUGCAUUUGAAUCUCAACAACGGCAGUGAUCAGACGACAUUUUGAAGGAGCAGAUCAACAGCGAGCAUGUUAAGAGUUUAAUGAAGAAAACUUUUGCAGAGUUUUCCCACUAAAGAGGAGCAGUUUAUUGAGGCAGAUUUUGAUAAAGAGAAUGGGUGCCAUACAUCAGACCUCACAUUAAAUCAGGGAUGAAACGAGAGAUGUCGUCCUCUGUUGCUGGUCUAUCUGUAUGAAUAAGAGGAAGAGCUCAUCCAGGAGUGCAAUUGUGGGAAUGCACAGAGAAUUGCUGUCUGUCAGAGGGAUGACCAACCAUGAGGACUUCUGCAUUGUCUUGGAGGAUAAGUGAGUCAUGGCUAGCCUGGAAAAUCUAGAAUCGCUGAACUGGAUUUAUACAAAUAUUCCACAAAUUAAAAUCACUUACAAAGAAAUGAAUAUUAAGUUUGCAAUACA